AUACGGAGGAUCCGAGCGUUAUCCGGAUUUAUUGGGUUUAAAGGGAGCGUAGGCGGACGCUUAAGUCAGUUGUGAAAGUUUGCGGCUCAACCGUAAAAUUGCAGUUGAUACUGGGUGUCUUGAGUACAGUAGAGGCAGGCGGAAUUCGUGGUGUAGCGGUGAAAUGCUUAGAUAUCACGAAGAACCCCGAUUGCGAAGGCAGACUGCUGGACUGUAACUGACGCUGAUGCUCGAAAGUGUGGGUAUCAAACAGGAUUAGAUACCCUGGUAGUCCACACAGUAAACGAUGAAUACUCGCUGUUUGCGAUAUACAGUAAGCGGCCAAGCGAAAGCGUUAAGUAUUCCACCUGGGGAGUACGCCGGCAACGGUGAAACUCAAAUGAAUUGACGGGG
rnacentral:rRNA from 1 species